rnacentral:snRNA from 1 species
UUAAAUUUAAUUCGAAAAUGCCCAUGUGUAAAGCUAAUAAUUUUGUUCUUAUUAGUUUAAUAUUGGGAUAUCGUCCCACAUGAUAUUAAAUUAAUUUUUCUUUGGGGGAGGUCCUACCACAAUGGCUUGCCAUUGGGGAAUUCAAGCGUGGCAUAUGCGUUGCAUUACUGCACAGGCUUGGCGCACCCCUA